GUUUUAACUAGUGUAAUGACCCGCGCUUCACAGCGGGAGGUCGUAACAUUGAAAGCUAAUAAUGUGACUUUCAUUAUAUUUAUUUAUCACCAAACAUACAGAUAUAUAUAACAUUCACAUUAUGUAAGAUAAAUAGAGACAAACAUACAGAUAUAUAUAACAUUCACAUUAUAACAUUCACAUUAUAUACAACAUUCCUUCACGUAGUGAAAUAAGUAGGGACAAACCUACACAUUCAUGCACCUGUUUGAUGGUGAACAGCAAUGCUAUAUAUAGAAAAAGUUGGGGGGAGGAUGCAUGCACUCUAAUGAUAAGAAAGAUAGCAAAAGGACAAGAAAAUAUUCUAUGUACUAUGGAAUUUUUUGUUUCAUGCACCUUGUGUUUGAUGUUAAACAAUAUUGGUAUAUAUAGAAAAAAUUGGGUAGGAUAAAUGCAUCGGAAUGAUAAGAAAGAAAGCAAAAGGAGAAGAAAUAUUCUAUAUAGUAUGAAAAAUUUUGUAAGAGAAAAGAUUAUCUUGUGGAUGAGAUACUAUUUCUAU
rnacentral:lncRNA from 1 species